rnacentral:rRNA from 1 species
GAGCUCCCAUGGCGCCUGUUUAUCAAAAACAUGGUUUUUUGAAGGAAUAAAAAAUCUAACCUGCCCGAUGCUAAAGUUAAUGGCCGCAGUAAUUUGACUGUGCUAAGGUAGCAUAAUCAUUUGUCUUUUAAAUAAGGUCUGGAAUGAAAGGUUGGUCGAAGAAAAUACUGUCUCUUUAUUAGUUAACAAAUUUAAUUAGUAAGUAAGAAGGCUUACAUGAAAUUGAAGGACGAUAAGACCCUAUUGAGCUUAAUUUUAUAAUUUUACUGGGGUGGUAAAGUAAGAAAAGGAUCUUAUUAAAUUGAGUAAAAUUUGAAGACCCAAUAUUAUUGAGGAAAAGAUAAAGUUACUAUAGGGAUAACAGCUUAAUUUUUUUUUAAAGUUCUUAUUUAAAAAAGAGUUUAAGACCUCGAUGUUGAAUUAAAGUAUCUUUUUAGUGAAGAAGCUAACGGAGAAAGUCUGUUCGACUUUUAAAUCUUUACGUGAUCUGAGUUCAGACCGGCCAUGGGAGCU